UUUUUUUUUACUCUUUUGGGUUUGAGUUGCCUACUAUUUUAAUUCCAAUUGAAGAUGUAAAGUAAACAAAGGGUUGUACGAGUUUGGAUUUCAUAGACGAGGUCAGGGUUGGACAUGUAAAUUUGAGAAAUGGUAUUAAUUACCCUGAGAAUUGAUAAUAAAACAUGAAGAACUGAAUGACAAUGAAAAUUCCAUCUUUUUGUGUGUGUGUAUGUGGUGCUGGGGAUUGAAUUCAUGGCCUUGUGCAUCGGAGGAAAGCACUCUUCCAACUGAGCUAUAUCCCCAGCCCAAAAAUUCUAUCUUUGAGCCAGGCUUGUUGAAUAUAGUCAACCCAAGCAGUACUCAAAGGCAAAUUUAAAGCCAAAGUACAUAUACUUCAUAUUAUAUGAAAAAAGACUGAAAUACAAUGAAUGUGUAAUGUAAUUGAUUAGGUAGGUAGAAGGGAUGAUAUAAUGAAGAGUAGAAAUGAAUGAUAAAGAAAUCAAAGAAGCAAUAGAAAAAUUAGUUAAACCAAAAGUAAAUUCACACAGAAAACUAAUAACCCUCUGAACAAACUGGCCUAGAAUAGAGACAAAUGUACAAAUUAAAAUUAUUUGAGCCAGGUGCACUCCUGUAAUCCCAGUAGCUUGGGAGGCUGAGGCAGGAGGAUCACAAGUUCAAAGCUGGCUUCAGCAACUUAGUGAGAUCCUCUCUCAAAAUAAAAAAAGUCGGGGGGGAUGGGAUGUAGCUCAGUGGUUAAGUGCCCACGUUAAAUCCCCAGUACUAAAAAAAAUAAAAACUAAAAAAAAAUUGGAAUGAGUGCUCAAUGCCACUUAAAAGUGCCAAUUAAAAAACGUGGAAUAAAAUGAAGAGCUAUAGAGCCAGGUGUGGUGGUGCAUGCCUGUAAUCCUAGUGGCUUGGGAGAUUCAGACAGGAGGAUCGCAAGUUCAAAGCCAGCCUCAGCAAUGGUGAGGCGCUUAGCAACUCAGUGAGACCCUAUUUCUAAAUAAAAUACAAAAUAGGGCUGGGGAUGUGGUUCAGUGGUUGAGUA
rnacentral:lncRNA from 1 species